GAAAACUAGCAUAGGUUAAUACAGUGAACAGGGAGUGCAUGGGGUAAAACCGGGAAUGGAUUUGAAUCAUGAAUCCGCAGCACCUCAUAGUGCCCUGGGCUUGAUCCUCUUGGCUGUGAUAGUGGCCCUGGCUCUUCUGACAAGUCUUGGAUUUUGAUUUAGGAAACACUGGUGAGUUCUUUGUAUCAAUCUGUUCUGUUCAUUCCUCCUCCCCAAUGGUCUUCCCUUCUGUUUUGACUUUUUCCUCACUUUCCUUCUCCUCUCAGCCCCAUUCCCAUUUUCUGCUCAGGUCUCACCUCCACCUUAUGAAGGUCUGUUAUUUCUCUGUUCUCAUUUGGUUCACUUAGGACCCACUGUGAAGCUCCCUGCAGUGCUGUCCCUUCGAAGUGAGGACCCAGCUACCCAGGUGCCCAGUCUACACCUGGACACCAUGUGGUGAUGACAUCACUUCCUUGUUAAAGCUUGGUGAUUCAUUUCCAUUCCAUGAUCAGUUACUAAUAUAUGCUCUAUGUGAUCUUGCAGGAUUUGUGACCUUGUUAGGAAUAGGAUCCUAACAAGCUCUGCCUGGUUAGAUAUAAAUGUAUUAUCAGAUGUGUUUCAGAUGUCACAUCCUACAGAGGUUUCUUUCUUGAUUCACAGUGGGACACAAUCUCUCCUCACGUGUGCAACUCCCUACAUUUCAACUAUACCCUUUACUGUCUGCCCUCUGUGGAAGUUUUGUAAAUUCAUUUUUUUCUUUUAAGGUUUUAGAAAUUUGAGAGCAAAGCACAUGCUUUUUAAAUAUCUGUAUCCCUGGUGAAGUGUCUGGCCUGCAUGUGACAUGUCCUCAGUGAAAACCUGUGUUGAAUUUAGGUUGAGAGGCACCUCAUGGUGGUGAUACCUGAAAUAUGGCCCAAGUGCAUCACUGAGGAGGGGAUCAAAAAUGGAGUCAAAGUGCUGCUCUUGAGGACUGAAGUAGGUCCGGCUUCAUGGAAGAAUUUACUUGAGGUGAACUUGCGGAAAUGGAAUUAGCCUUAUUUUGCUUAGAGAGUGAGAAGAGGGAACCCAGGAAAAAGAAAACAUCUAGAGAGACCAGGUGCAGGUGACAGCACACGCUGAAAAUUCUCCCAUGGAUUUCCUCCUGAAAAAUGCAUUCUUGCAUUCACUUGUCGUGCCUUCAUUCAUCACACAUCUGGCUGUGACUGUUUGUGUGGUCAACGUAUUUACUGAGAAUAACUCCAAAAUACAGGGAAAUAAUUAGAAAAGAAGAACAGAGGAAAAGGUAAAAACAUGAAAUGGAGGAAAGUAAAUGGGUGUCAGCUGAAGUGUUUUUACUUGGAUGGAACAUGACUGGCUACCACUCAUGCAGCUUCCAGUUCACUUUUCCACAUUUGCUUGUGAGCAAUGUGGUUUCAGCUGAUUGAUUUCACUCUCAGCUGUGAUGCUAAGCCCAAGGCAAUCAUGAUAUCCCUCCUUUGACAAUGUGAUGGGCUAAAGAAUAAACAGGUAGCCUCUAAUUCAAGAUAACAUCACAGAGAUCCAUUUACAUUUUCUUGAAGAGGUGAGUCAGUAUAUGAGCCUGUCCUAUUUGGUCUGGCUCAGUUUAUGUGCAGCCUGAAUUUCAUUUUUGAUGGUGGGGGAAAAAGAUGGUCUAUCUUGUUCUGGAUGUUACCCUGGUGGGUAUACAUCACUCGUUACUUUUCCAGCACCAGAAAAACAAUUCUACCGAUGAAAUCAGAUGGACAAGAAAUUAGAGGGAACAAACUCACUGAAGAGUCCAGAUGAAACCACAUUCAAAGCCUGAAUGAAUCCUGGACUUCUCAGUCCUGUUGGUCAAUACACUUUCUUGAGUUUUUUCAGGUCUUCAAAUUGGGGGUCCUCUUGUUGGAGACUGAAAGCAUCCUGCUUACUGCACACAGAUGUUGGGGGACUCAGCUGAUCUCUACUUUUGGUUGUAGCAUUAUUUUACUUCUUUCUUCCUCUUCCUUUCUUCCAGAAAUUAGCUAUUCUCUAAAACUUAUCUCUUUUAUUUUUUUCAUGCCAGUUUUAAACUUUUAACCUGUUUUGGUUUUAACUGUGGCAUGUGGAUAAGCACCUCUCUGGGAUCUUCAUGGAUUUUUGUAAAACCACUGAUGAGGAAUCAAAGUGGUGGUUAUGUUCCUUGAAUA